rnacentral:rRNA from 1 species
CCUACGGGAGGCAGCAGUGAGGAAUAUUGGUCAAUGGGCGCAAGCCUGAACCAGCCAAGUCGCGUGAGGGAAGACGGUCCUAUGGAUUGUAAACCUCUUUUGUCGGGGAGCAAACGUCGCCACGUGUGGCGAUCCGCGUGUACCCGAUGAAAAAGCAUCGGCUAAAUCCGUGCCAGCAGCCGCGGUAAUACGGAGGAUGGGAGCGUUUUCCGGAUUUAUUGGGUUUAAAGGGUGCGUAGGCGGAAGAUUAAGUCAGCGGUAAAAUUGAGAGGCUCAACCUCUUCGAGCCGUUGAAACUGGUUGUCUUGAGUGAGUGAGAAGUAUGCGGAAUGCGUGGUGUAGCGGUGAAAUGCAUAGAUAUCACGCAGAACUCCGAUUGCGAAGGCAGCAUACCGGCGCUCAACUGACGCUCAUGCACGAAAGUGUGGGUAUCGAACAGGAUUAGAUACCCCUGUAGUC